CAACUAUGUACUGGGGGCUUCGGGGAGAAGAAGGAAAAAAAAAAAAGGCCAGAAAGCUACAGUUAUGAGUGGAUGUGAGCAAAUGGAUGGUGCAAUGACUACUAGUCCAGUUUCCUGCCACUGCUUUGAGCCAGAUCUUGGAAACUAAUAACCCGGAAUAUUUUCCUCAUCACUUUGACACUGAUUCACUCUGCCCGUGAAUUGUCCACCUGGACGGAGGAGGAAAAUUUCUCCUUCAGGAUGGAGUUGGCUUCGAUUCAACGAUCAGAUCCAUGCAGUUCCCCAAAGGUGUGCUCUUAUUGCUGCAAAAAAAGAAAACAAAUAUAUAAUAAUGAUGUUUAAAUUAUUGAACGAUGCUAGCCAAAACUUGCAAGUUUACAGUAAC